rnacentral:rRNA from 1 species
ACUCCUACGGGAGGCAGCAGUGGGGAAUCUUGGACAAUGGGCGCAAGCCUGAUCCAGCCAUGCCGCGUGAGUGAUGAAGGCCUUAGGUCGUAAAGCUCUUUCGCCAGGGAUGAUAAUGACAGUACCUGGUAAAGAAACCCCGGCUAACUCCGUGCCAGCAGCCGCGGUAAUACGGAGGGGGUUAGCGUUGUUCGGAAUUACUGGGGCGUAAAGCGCGCGUAGGCGGGGUUGUUAAGUUAGAGGUGAAAUCCCGGGGGCUCAACCCCGGAACUGCCUUUAAUACUGGCAACCUAGAGUUCGAGAGAGGUGAGUGGAAUUCCGAGUGUAGAGGUGAAAUUCGUAGAUAUUCGGAGGAACACCAGUGGCGAAGGCGGCUCACUGGCUCGAUACUGACGCUGAGGUGCGAAAGUGUGGGGAGCAAACAGGAUUAGAUACCCUGGUAGGAUAGCG